UACGUAGGCAGCAAGCGUUGUUCGGAGUUACUGGGCGUAAAGAGUGCGUAGGUGGUGCCCUAAGUCUGUUGUGAAAUCUCCCGGCUUAACUGGGAGGGGGCGGUGGAAACUGGGGUGCUUGAGUGUGGGAGAGGUAAGCGGAAUUCCUGGUGUAGCGGUGAAAUGCGUAGAUAUCAGGAGGAACACCGGUGGUGUAGACGGCUUACUGGACCACGACUGACACUGAGGCACGAAAGCGUGGGUAGCAAACAGG
rnacentral:rRNA from 1 species